GCCGGGCGUGGUGGUGCACACCUGUAGUCCCAGCUACUCGGAGGCUGAGGCAGAAGAAUUGCUUGAACCCAGGAGGCCAAGGUUGCAGUGAGCCCAGAUCACAUCAUUGCACUCCAGCCUGGGAGACAGAGCAAGUCUCUGUCUCAA
rfam:Homo sapiens chromosome 7, GRCh38 reference primary assembly.